UACAUGGGGUGCAAACGUUGCUCGGAAUCAUCGGGCGUAAAGCGCGCGUAGGCGGUUAUUUAAGUUGGAUGUGAAAGCCCUCGGCUUAACUGAGGAAGUGCAUCCAAAACUGAAUAGCUAGAGUACGAAAGAGGGUCGCGGAAUUCCCGGUGUAGAGGUGAAAUUCGUAGAUAUCGGGAGGAACACCGGUGGCGAAGGCGGCGACCUGGGUCGAGACUGACGCUGAGGCGCGAAAGCGUGGGGAGCAAACAGG
rnacentral:rRNA from 1 species